GGUUAAGCGACUAAGCGUACACGGUGGAUGCCCUGGCAGUCAGAGGCGAUGAAGGACGUGCUAAUCUGCGAAAAGCGUCGGUAAGGUGAUAUGAACCGUUAUAACCGGCGAUGUCCGAAUGGGGAAACCCAGUGCAAUUCGUUGCACUAUCGUUAACUGAAUACAUAGGUUAACGAGGCGAACCGGGGGAACUGAAACAUCUAAGUACCCCGAGGAAAAGAAAUCAACCGAGAUUCCCCCAGUAGCGGCGAGCGAACGGGGAGCAGCCCAGAGUCUGAAUCAGCUUGUGUGUUAGUGGAACGGUCUGGAAAGUCCGACGGUACAGGGUGAUAGUCCCGUACACCAAAAUGCACAGGCUGUGAACUCGAAGAGUAGGGCGGGACACGUGGUAUCCUGUCUGAAUAUGGGGGGACCAUCCUCCAAGGCUAAAUACUCCUGACUGACCGAUAGUGAACCAGUACCGUGAGGGAAAGGCGAAAAGAACCCCGGCGAGGGGAGUGAAAAAGAACCUGAAACCGUGUACGUACAAGCAGUGGGAGCACCUUCGGGUGUGACUGCGUACCUUUUGUAUAAUGGGUCAGCGACUUAUAUUCUGUAGCAAGGUUAACCGUAUAGGGGAGCCGCAGGGAAACCGAGUCUUAACUGGGCGUUAAGUUGCAGGGUAUAGACCCGAAACCCGGUGAUCUAGCCAUGGGCAGGUUGAAGGUUGGGUAACACUAACUGGAGGACCGAACCGACUAAUGUUGAAAAAUUAGCGGAUGACUUGUGGCUGGGGGUGAAAGGCCAAUCAAACCGGGAGAUAGCUGGUUCUCCCCGAAAGCUAUUUAGGUAGCGCCUCGUGAAUUCAUCUUCGGGGGUAGAGCACUGUUUCGGCUAGGGGGUCAUCCCGACUUACCAACCCGAUGCAAACUACGAAUACCGAAGAAUGUUAUCACGGGAGACACACGGCGGGUGCUAACGUCCGUCGUGAAGAGGGAAACAACCCAGACCGCCAGCUAAGGUCCCAAAGUCAUGGUUAAGUGGGAAACGAUGUGGGAAGGCACAGACAGCCAGGAUGUUGGCUUAGAAGCAGCCAUCAUUUAAAGAAAGCGUAAUAGCUCACUGGUCGAGUCGGCCUGCGCGGAAGAUGUAACGGGGCUAAACCAUGCACCGAAGCUGCGGCAGCGACACUAUGUGUUGUUGGGUAGGGGAGCGUUCUGUAAGCCUGCGAAGGUGACCUGUGAGGGUUGCUGGAGGUAUCAGAAGUGCGAAUGCUGACAUAAGUAACGAUAAAGCGGGUGAAAAGCCCGCUCGCCGGAAGACCAAGGGUUCCUGUCCAACGUUAAUCGGGGCAGGGUGAGUCGACCCCUAAGGCGAGGCCGAAAGGCGUAGUCGAUGGGAAACAGGUUAAUAUUCCUGUACUUGGUGUUACUGCGAAGGGGGGACGGAGAAGGCUAUGUUAGCCGGGCGACGGUUGUCCCGGUUUAAGCAUGUAGGCUGGUUAUCCAGGCAAAUCCGGAUAAUCAAGGCUGAGGUGUGAUGACGAGGCACUACGGUGCUGAAGUAACAAAUGCCCUGCUUCCAGGAAAAGCCUCUAAGCAUCAGGUAACAUCAAAUCGUACCCCAAACCGACACAGGUGGUCAGGUAGAGAAUACCAAGGCGCUUGAGAGAACUCGGGUGAAGGAACUAGGCAAAAUGGUGCCGUAACUUCGGGAGAAGGCACGCUGGUGUGUAGGUGAAGCCCCUGCGGGUGGAGCUGAGACCAGUCGAAGAUACCAGCUGGCUGCAACUGUUUAUUAAAAACACAGCACUGUGCAAACACGAAAGUGGACGUAUACGGUGUGACGCCUGCCCGGUGCCGGAAGGUUAAUUGAUGGGGUUAUCCGUAAGGAGAAGCUCUUGAUCGAAGCCCCGGUAAACGGCGGCCGUAACUAUAACGGUCCUAAGGUAGCGAAAUUCCUUGUCGGGUAAGUUCCGACCUGCACGAAUGGCGUAAUGAUGGCCAGGCUGUCUCCACCCGAGACUCAGUGAAAUUGAACUCGCUGUGAAGAUGCAGUGUACCCGCGGCAAGACGGAAAGACCCCGUGAACCUUUACUAUAGCUUGACACUGAACAUUGAGCCUUGAUGUGUAGGAUAGGUGGGAGGCUUUGAAGCGUGGACGCCAGUCUGCGUGGAGCCAACCUUGAAAUACCACCCUUUAAUGUUUGAUGUUCUAACGUUGGCCCCUUACCGGGGUUGCGGACAGUGUCUGGUGGGUAGUUUGACUGGGGCGGUCUCCUCCCAAAGCGUAACGGAGGAGCACGAAGGUUAGCUAAUCCUGGUCGGACAUCAGGAGGUUAGUGCAAUGGCAUAAGCUAGCUUGACUGCGAGCGUGACGGCGCGAGCAGGUGCGAAAGCAGGUCAUAGUGAUCCGGUGGUUCUGAAUGGAAGGGCCAUCGCUCAACGGAUAAAAGGUACUCCGGGGAUAACAGGCUGAUACCGCCCAAGAGUUCAUAUCGACGGCGGUGUUUGGCACCUCGAUGUCGGCUCAUCACAUCCUGGGGCUGAAGUAGGUCCCAAGGGUAUGGCUGUUCGCCAUUUAAAGUGGUACGCGAGCUGGGUUUAGAACGUCGUGAGACAGUUCGGUCCCUAUCUGCCGUGGGCGCUGGAGAAUUGAGGGGGGCUGCUCCUAGUACGAGAGGACCGGAGUGGACGCAUCACUGGUGUUCGGGUUGUCAUGCCAAUGGCACUGCCCGGUAGCUAAAUGCGGAAGAGAUAAGUGCUGAAAGCAUCUAAGCACGAAACUUGCCCCGAGAUGAGUUCUCCCUGAGACU
rnacentral:rRNA from 1 species